CCUACGGGAGGCAGCAGUGAGGAAUAUUGGUCAAUGGACGCAAGUCUGAACCAGCCAUGCCGCGUGCAGGAAGACGGCUCUAUGAGUUGUAAACUGCUUUUGUACGAGGGUAAACGCAGAUACGCGUAUACGUCUGAAAGUAUCGUACGAAUAAGGAUCGGCUAACUCGGUGCCAGCAGCCGCGGUAAUACGGAGGAUUCAAGCGUUAUCCGGAUUAAUUGGGUUUAAGGGGUGCGUAGGCGGUCGGAUAAGUUAGAGGUGAAAUCCCGGGGCUCAACUUCGGAAUUGCCUCUGAUACUGUUCGGCUAGAGAGUAGUUGCGGUAGGCGGAAUGUAUGGUGUAGCGGUGAAAUGCUUAGAGAUCAUACAGAACACCGAUUGCGAAGGCAGCUUACCAAGCUACUUCUGACGUUGAGGCACGAAAGCGUGGGGAGCAAACAGGAUUAGAUACCCCUGUAGUC
rnacentral:rRNA from 1 species